CACAUACUAAAAACGCUGUUUUUUGACAAUCAGAAAUCUGUCAAAUCUUCCCCAAAGUCCAGGAAAUGGCAUUUCAGAGACUCUAAAUUUAAAAAUUUCCUCGGGCCUUCGGCCCUCGCUUUCAGCGCCCCCAAACGAAAGAAGCUUCCUACGGCCCUGCUCUCCCCCCCCCCCACACUACUAUUAAAUGCGAUACCACACC